rnacentral:misc_RNA from 1 species
GAAAUGCGAUAAGUAAUGUGAAUUGCAGAAUUCAGUGAAUCAUCGAAUCUUUGAACGCACCUUGCGCUCCUUGGUAUUCCGAGGAGCAUGCCUGUUUGAGUGUCAUGGAAUUCUCAACUCUAUUUGCUUUUGUGAAUAGAGCUUGGAUUUGGUGGUUUAUUGCUGGUACUUGUGAUCGGCUCCUCUUGAAUGCAUUAGCUCGAACCUUUGCGGAUCAGCUAUCGGUGUGAUAAUUGUCUACGCCGUUGCAGUGAAGCAUAUCAAUGGGCUCGGCUUCCAAUCGUCCUUUACUGGACAAUGACUUUGACCUUUGACCUCAAAUCAGGUAGGAUUACCCGCUGAACUUAAGC